CGGGACGGGUGAGUAAUGUCUGGGAAACUGCCUGAUGGAGGGGGCUAACUACUGGAAACGGUAGCUAAUACCGCAUAACGUCGCAAGACCAAAGAGGGGGACCUUCGGGCCUCUUGCCAUCGGAUGUGCCCAGAUGGGAUUAGCUAGUAGGUGGGGUAACGGCUCACCUAGGCGACGAUCCCUAGCUGGUCUGAGAGGAUGACCAGCCACACUGGAACUGAGACACGGUCCAG
rnacentral:rRNA from 1 species